rnacentral:lncRNA from 1 species
UGAGAAUGAUUACCAGUAUGCAAAUGUCAGGAGGUUUUUAAACAUAUGAAUUUGAUGUUUAUUUCUUUGUUUGGCUUUCUAGGCUUUAGUAAGCAAGAACAGUGCUGUGAUCGAAUGGCUAAGAAUCUGAGUGCUGGAACUUGCCUAGGUGGAGUCAGGUCACAGCUCUGCUAUUUUUAGUUCUGGGACCUCAGAUAUGUGACACACCAGUUCUCUCACCUUUAAAAUAGAGAUGAUACUGAUAUCUACCAUUUGAUUUAUUGAGGCUUCUUGUGGGAAUUACAUAAAUGAAUAUAUGUAAAUUACUUAGAGUAGUGCUUGGCACACAGCAGGCACUCAACAAAUACUAGAUAUUACACACAAUAAAAAAAUCCACCCCCCCUAAGAUAUAUACAUUUGGAAAUUGUUUUCUUCAUCCUUCUUUUAUAGUAUGUUAUUUGGAGUCUCUUUUUUUCCCUUUUGGUGUUUAGAGGGACUUUCGUCAAAAAUGAAAAGAAUGCCCUCAUUUUGGUAAAUAGCAAGAUGGAGGUAGUACAUUGGGUGCUUCUCUCCCUGAGGAUUCUUCCUGGCUUAGUUCCUGCCUGUCACUUUUGUUCUGAGGAUUUCAGUUUCCCCAUGCACCAAAAACACAGAACAGAUGUUAGGAGCUGAGUUAAUGGUGGCCCAUAACACUGAACACCUUGACUGAUAGGUUCAAAAGCUUCCUCCUAGCAAUUCAAUAGUGCCAAGAAUGAGUGAGCCAAGAGGGAGAGUUAUGGCCCUUUGCAAACCCAUAAGGAGUAGCUCUCAGUCUGCGCUUGACCAGUCUGAGGGUUUAGAAGACUGUUUUGUGGUACAGCUGAAUCCCCAGUGUGCUGUGUUCCCAGGGAAGAAAACCAAUAACAACAGAUCCCACAACUCAUACCAUUUGCUAAAUGGGCUUCCUCGCAAGUGGGGCUCUGGGAGGAAUCUCACAAUUUCCUGCCGCUUUGUCUCUGAAGGGUAGGUGGAGCAAUUUAAACUGUUCAAGAGAAAUCCAACUGGCCUCCAUGAGUACUUGUGAAAGAACUUGGAACUGCCACUGGAGGUCAGCGAGCAUCAUGUGGAAGGUGUUGGAAGAAGGGAGAAGACGCCUGUUGCCAGUCCUCAAAGUAGAUGGAAAAUCUGAUGCUCUGUGGGUGGCCUCCACAAAUCGUGUGAUCCAGAGAAAGGUAAGGUGGACACUACAGUGUUUUCUAUGGGAUGACCUCCACAAGGGGUGAAUACCAAGGGUCCUCAAUUGGAGCCACCUUGGAGGCUGGCUACUACAGUACUUUACCUUUUCAUUUAAUUGAGAUUUUAAUUGAUAUAAUUAGAGAUUUAUGUGCAAGUAUGAAAGACUAUCCAGUGCAUACUUUGCCAAGUUUUCCCCAAUUUUGCAUUUUCAAAACUCUAGUAUAAUAUUUCAACAUUGACAUUGAUAUAAUACACCAUUUUUAUUCAGCUUUCUCAGGUUUUCUCCUUCUCAUUAGUGUAUGUAUAUGCAUUUCUGUGUAUUAAGUUCUAUAUAAUUAAAUCACUUGUUGGUUCAUGUAUCUAAUACCUCAGUCAAGAUACUAAAGAAUUCCAGCACCACAAGAAUUCCUCCUCUUUUUCCUCCUCUUGGUUUUUUACAACCAUACCAUCCUCCUUCUUGUACUAACUCCUCUCGUCAAUCCUGACUCCUGGUAAACACUAAUCUGUGUUCAUUUCACAGGCAAAUGAUUAAACAAAC